rnacentral:piRNA from 1 species
UGGACCGCUUUUCGUUCAUAU